CAUGGAUGGAAUUUUUGGAAAGUUUAGUAGUAAGGGCAUUUUGGUCAUUUGGAUAUUAAAUGAAAUAAAAAUGGGAAAAAUAACACAAAAAUGGUCAUCUUCUCAAUUAGUUGCUGCCGAAUUUUGCUCUCCUCCAUAGCUGGGGUUUCUUCAAUUUCCAAGCUCCAUAAUCAAGAAGAACAAAAUCUGGAGUUAGACCAAGGAAAGAAGAAGAUAGUGGACUAAAUCGAUAUAGUUGAUCGUAUUCUGUUUUGAGUUUUGUCAAGCUAACUCGGGGAUCGUAAAGUACGUCGGAGGUCCAGGCACACUAUCACAAGGGUUAUUUUGGUAUAGCUAGACGUUUCAUUUUGAGUAUGGCAUGUAUAGUAUCGUAGCCAUUUUGUGUGUAUGAUCUUAUGAUAUGGAUGAUGAAUGGUAUGUAAAUGUUUGAUAAUGAUUAGCUGUUGGAAUGGCUAAUCAAGGACAUGUUUGGUGUUAUGUAUGUGUAAAUGCUAGUUAUUCCAUGGAAAUCAUGAAAAAG